CCUACGGGAGGCAGCAGUGGGGAAUAUUGCACAAUGGGGGAAACCCUGAUGCAGCGACGCCGCGUGAGUGAAGAAGUACUUCGGUACGUAAAGCUCUAUCAGCAGGGAAGAAAAUGACCGUACCUGAAUAAGAAGCCCCGGCUAACUACGUGCCAGCAGCCGCGUUUAUACGUAGGGGGCAAGCGUUAUCCGGAUUUACUGGGGGUAAAGGGGGCGUUGACGGCCUCGCAAGUCCGGAGUGAAAUCCCCGGGCGCAACCAUGGAAUUGCAUUGGAAACUGUGCAGCUAGAGGUCGGGAGAGGCAGGCGGAAUUCCUGGUGUAGCGGUGAAAUGCGUAGAUAUUAGGAGGAACACCGGUGGCGAAGGCGGCUUGCUGGACUGUAACUGACGUUGAGGCUCGAAAGCGUGGGGAGCGAACAGGAUUAGAUACCCGUGUAGUC
rnacentral:rRNA from 1 species